UUGCGUGAACGUGUGUCAUGGCCCAGUCAGUGCUCCGAGAGAGAACACAAGGGGAGGCCGUGCGGGCCAGGGCUCUGCGUGCAAGACCCGGAGAAGCAAAGUGCAGAUUCCGUUGUCCUGGGUUGGGGACAGCGUCUUCCGUGUCUCCCUGUGCUCUGCGAGGUGACCUGAAUGCUCUGCCGGUCGGGAAGAGGCUGCACCUCCUCCGCUGAAUGCGGGAGGGAGGGAAAGGAAUAAAACCUGAUGCUGCAUUGCUGCGGGCCUGGCCCAGGGGAGGUGACGGCCCUGCCCUUGCUCACGGGGCCCCGAGGCCACCACGGUGGGAGGAAACCAGGCAGGGUCGGCCAGACUGACGAGGUGUCGCAGGAGGUUCCCUGGCUCCUGUGGGUUGCUCUCACGGAACUCUGAAUGCUCCUUGAGCGUGUGGACCAUGUUCUCGUUCACUGCAGUCUAACGCCGCUCCUGGACACGCAGCAGCAGCAACCCGGCUGUUCUUCCCCGCGUAGCCGGUGCACAGUCACCACCCGAGGGGACCCAGUUUACCGCAUCCUCCAGAGUGAAGCCUGAUGACGCCGCAUCUGCAAGCCAAAGACACAAAAACAAAACUCAGUGGUGAUGGCAAAGAGUCGGCUCCACAGCUCAUUUAACAAUA